GCUCCGGUGGCCUAAUGGAUAAGGUAGCAGAUUCCGAUUCUGCUGACGCAGGUUCGAUUCCUGUCCGGAGUACCA
rnacentral:tRNA from 1 species